GGCAAAAUAAAAUUCGGCGGCCGAAAGCUGGACUUUUAACAGGUGAAGACCCCUUUUUACUGUUGAGAUGUCCUUUUGGACAGAAUAGACCCUAACAGCCAAAAGCUAGACUUUCGAUAGCUAAAAGUCCCCUCGAUAGUAAGGGUAUAAAUAGCCCAUUUUGAUUCAAUUUUCAAAGAAAGUCAGUUUUUCGCUCUCCUUAUAACUGUUACAUGCAAAGAGGACUAAAAUUAAAGUUUUCUUGGCUAACUUUAUGUUUUGUGUGCUUGGAUGCUUG
rnacentral:misc_RNA from 1 species